rnacentral:rRNA from 1 species
AGUCUGGUGCCAGCAGCCGCGGUAAUUCCAGCUCCAAUAGCGUAUAUUAUUAUUGUUGCGGUUAAAAAGCUCGUAGUUGGAUCUCGGUUUCGGGCGAGCGGUGUACCUUGCGGUAUUUACUGUUUGCCCGGACGAUUUUGUUGGUUCGUUUAUGGUUCUCUUAACCGAGUGCCAUAAGUGGCCAGCACGUUUACUUUGAAAAAAUUGGAGAGCUCAAAGCAGGCGCUACAGCCUGAACAUUAGUGCAUGGAAUAAUGGAAUAGGAUCUCGGAUCUAUUUCGUUGGCUUUCGGAGUCGAGGUAAUGAUUAAUAGGGACAGACGGGGGCAUUCGUACUGCGACGUUAGAGGUGAAAUUCUUGGAUCGUCGCAAGACGAACUACUGCGAAGGCAUUUGCCAAGAAUGUUUUCAUUAAUCAAGAACGAAAGUUAGAGGUUCGAAGGCGAUCAGAUACCGCCCUAGUUCUAACCAUAAACGAUGUCGACCGGCGAUCCGUUAUCGUUAACUGAAUGACUUAACGGGCAGCCUCCGGGAAACCAGAGUGUUUGGAUUCCGGGGGAAGUAUGGUUGCAAAGCUGAAACUUAAAAGAAUUGACGGAAGGGCACCACCAGGAGUGGAGCCUGCGGCUUAAUUUGACACAACACGGGAAAUCUCACCAGGCCCGGACACCGGAAGGAUUGACAGAUUGAGAGCUCUUUCUUGAUUCGGUGGGUGGUGGUGCAUGGCCGUUCUUAGUUGGUGGAGCGAUUUGUCUGGUUAAUUCCGAUAACGAACGAGACUCUGGCCUACUAACUAGACGUUAGAUCCCUUUGUGGGUCUAUCGCAGCUUCUUAGAGGGACGGGCGGCGUUUAGCCGCACGAGAUUGAGCAAUAACAGGUCUGUGAUGCCCUUAGAUGUUCUGGGCUGCACGCGCGCUACACUGAAGGAAUCAGCGUGUGUUCCCUACCCGAAAGGGUUGGGAAACCCGUUGAACCCCCUUCGUGAUGGGGAUUGGGGAUUGCAAUUAUUCCCCAUGAACGAGGAAUUCCCAGUAGGCGCGAGUCAUAAGCUUGCGUCGAUUACGUCCCUGCCCUUUGUACACACCGCCCGUCGCUACUACCGAUCGAGUGAUUUAGUGAGGCCUUCGGACUGGUCUUCAGUAUGGCUUUCGGGUCGUGUUGGAGUACCGGAAAGAUGACCAAACUUGAUCACUUAGAGGAAGUAAAAGUC